rnacentral:tRNA from 1 species
UAUAGUUCAGUGGUAGAACACUUGCCUAGUAUGCAUGAGACCCUAGCUUCAAUCUCCAGUA